AUUGAACGCUGGCGGCAUGCUUUACACAUGCAAGUCGAACGGUAACAGGUUAAGCUGACGAGUGGCGAACGGGUGAGUAAUGCAUCGGAACGUGCCCGAUCGUGGGGGAUAACGCAGCGAAAGCUGCGCUAAUACCGCAUACGAUCUGAGGAUGAAAGCGGGGGACCGUAAGGCCUCGCGCGAUCGGAGCGGCCGAUGUCAGAUUAGGUAGUUGGUGGGGUAAAGGCCCACCAAGCCGACGAUCUGUAGCUGGUCUGAGAGGACGACCAGCCACACUGGGACUGAGACACGGCCCAGACUCCUACGGGAGGCAGCAGUGGGGAAUUUUGGACAAUGGGCGAAAGCCUGAUCCAGCAAUGCCGCGUGCAGGAAGAAGGCCUUCGGGUUGUAGACUGCUUUUGUACGGAGCGAAAAGGUCCUUUCUAAUACAGGGGGCUCAUGACGGUACCGUAAGAAUAAGCACCGGCUAACUACGUGCCAGCCGCCGCUGUAAAAC
rnacentral:rRNA from 1 species